rnacentral:lncRNA from 10 species
AGGAAAACCCCAAAGCCCUGGUUUAGGUCUGCCAACAAUGAUCUGGACCUCAAUUUCUUUUUAUUUCAUCACUGCCAAACACAGUGUGCCAAGUACAGGAAUAGUGACACUGGCUCCAAGUUUAGUGGGAGAGACCGUAAGAGGCAUAUGAACUACAAGAUCUUCAGGAAGAUCCAAAGGACUCAGUAACCUAAGGUCUCUGGCAGUUUCCACAUUCUAAGGAGCCUCCGUGCUCAGAGAAAAGCCUGGUCAAUGUGGCCUAAAAUGGACAAGGAAGACUUCAUCACAGGGUGAAACUUGAGUUGUGCUUCCAGGUAGGAUUUGAAUAACAGGGCAUGGGGGCAAAGGGAGCGGUGGACAAUGUGAGCAGAAGUGAAAGAAGAGGAAAGGAAAGAAAUCACUUUCCUGAAAAUUGGAUCCAUACAGAGGAGGAGGAGAUAAAUUUGGGUCAGAUUAAAGAAACCCUCAAAAGCUAAAUCAAGAAAUGUGGAGCUUUUUCUAUGGGUCGUUUUUUGUUUUUGUUUUUGUUUUGAAGCUUGGGAUCAUAGAAUUUAAGGAAAACAAUAUAUUGGAAGGACUGAGCCCACUGAUAAUAUUGAACACAGGAUGGAUUGAAGCUAUAGGGACUGAAGCAAGGAGAUGGCUACUGCAAUAAUCAAAAAGGCCUUGAACCCAGGUUGUGGAGGUGAGAAAUGCAAGGAAGGCAUAGGUCCUCUGCCUAGACAGAUUUUGAACAGAAGAAUGGACUAUCUGACCAGAACUAUGGGACAAAUAAUAGAGGGUCCAAAAUGACUCAGAUCUGAAACCUGGCAGGAAAUAAAAAUCUUGGUAACAUGGAUCCACACUGACUCAAGUCUAAUUAUUUCCUAUCAAGACCCAAACGAAGACAGCACUUUCUACCUCCCUUUUUGCCAGCUCAUAUUUGAGUUCAGCAUGGAGUCAUCGUCUUGAGACAGACCGCUAAUAGUCCUGCAAUAUUCAUCGUGCCCUCCACUAUUAUUGUAACAGAGUAUGAGAGCUUCAGCUAGGUACAUGGCCACCCAGAAUAAGCACAAUUCCCUGCUGGUCAUAUGACUAAUUGCUAACCAAUAAAAUGGAAACAAAGUGACAUGUAUCUGCAGCUUCAUCCAGAGUCUCAUGUGACUGUGUCAGUGUUUCCAACUCUGACGUCUUAAAUUCAGCAAUAUCAGUAGUGAUGUUUCACACUAUGAUAAUUGGCAUAUUAUCCUGACUACAUAGCACAGAGCCUGGUCCUUCAUCCCUCCCUGAAUUCUUUGAUGCCCUUUUGUAAGCUCCUUUCUUCCUUAAAUUAGCCAGAGUUGGUUUAUGUUGCUUGCAACUGAGAACGUUGACAGAGAGAUACUAUUCUAGGCUCUAUGUAUGAAUAUACAUGUGUAGUCCCUUCCCUGUGGAAUCCUCAAGGUCCAAGUAUUAGUCGUUGUUUUAUUUCUUUAGCCCUUCCUCCCAAUGUAGAACCUGCCUAUGAGAUUAAAGUAAUGAGUCAGUUCUUAAACAAUUUUACAUCUAAGCAACUUAUACAUCUUAGGACCCCUCCAAGUAGCAAAUCUUGGCUCAUAACACACUUAUUACACUGGUAGUGCCACUGUUUAAAACUUUUUAAAAUUGUUUGAGAAUUGCCUUGUGCCUGGCACAUAAUCUUUUGUUUUAGGAAAGUAUGUGUUUAAAAUCUAAAUAUUACAAGAUGAAAAAUCUCCUUCUCAAAUUUUUUCCUUGGUUUCCUAGUUUCCAUCCCUAGAAUUCAUGUGCUUCUUAAUUCCUUUAAAUCCUUCUAGAGAUAGUAUAGGGGUGUGUGUGUGUGUGUGUGUGUGUAUGUGUGUGUGUAAAUUAUGUAUUUAUAUCCUUUUUUAGCAAAAGCAGUAAUACAUUCUUAUGUACCUAGUUAUUUCACUUAAUAUAUACCUCUGGCUCAUUCUUACUAAUGACAGAAUAGUGUUCUAAUUAACUGAUGCUCCGUAAUUACCUAACCUGUCUCCUAUUGUUGGAUAUUUAUGUUUUCUCUAAUCUUUUCCUGUUGUAGUAAAUAUUCUGUGCAAGAUUUCUUCUGUACUUUUAUGAAUGUAGCUGUGGGAUAAAUUCCAAGAAGUAUAUCCACUUGGUAAAAGGGUACAUUCAUUUAUUAUUAAUAAAUAUUUCUAAAUUACCCUAAAAAGAAAUAGUGUAAAGUACCCUCUUUUCUUUUUCCUUUUUUUCUUUUUUUUAAUUGAAACAGGGUCUUCCUCCCUUGCCCAGGCUGUGAUGCAGUGGUUGCUGUCAUGGCUCACUGCAACCUCGACCUCCCCAGCUCAAUGGAUCCGUCUGCCUCAGACUCCCAAGUAGCUGAGACUAUAGACAUGUGCCACCACACUCAGCUAAUUUUUGUACCUUUUUGUAGAGAUGGGGUUUCGCCAUGUUGCCCAGGCUGGUCUCGAACUCCUGGGCUCAAACAAUCCACCGGCCUCUGCCUCCCACAGUGCUGAGACUACAGGCAUGAGUCAUUGUGCCUGGCAAAAUUACACUCUUAUGCAAAUUUUUACCUUUUGAGAAUAGGUUUAACUUCUGAAAACUGCCCCAAGUUACUCAAAACCAAGUCUGAUGAAUAAAAGCAUGAUUUUCUUAGGUAACAACAUUCUCAGUACAGGAUGAGCUGUGACUGAAAGUAAUUAGAUGAGUUUUUUGUUAGUUUGAUUUGUAAAAUGAGUGUGAGAUAAGCUCCAAAAGGUCCAAACAUAUUUUGAGCAACAGUAGUAUCACUCAAGUAAGUGUGCUGCCUCCCAAAUGGAUACUUUUUUUUUUUUUUGAGACAGAGUCUCUCUCUGUCGCCAGGCUGGAAUGCAGUGGCGCGAUCCCAGCUCACUGCAACCUCUGACUCCCCGGUUCAAGUGAUUCUCCUGCCUCAGUCUCCCAAGUAGCUAGGAUUACAGGCAUACACCACCACGUCCAGCUAAUUUUUGUAUUUUUAGUAGAGCUGGG